UGGUGUGCAUGGUCGAAUCGCUGUCAAACGACGACUAUGUAUUUUCGAUUAUUUUCUGGUAUCUGAAGGUGAAAUUUGUGAAUGCACGUGGUCCUUGUAAUUCAAGAAUGUAUUACGGAAUUAUAUAAUACGGAAAUAUCGGCCUGGUUCGUCAAGAAGACUGAAAUCUGGAGAUGUUCGACAGGUGUUUUGCUGUGAAUAAUUGAGGGAAUGAUGUGACGUAUAUAUAAGCAGGGAAUGAAAUGGGUCACCUGAAGGCCUGUGCAUUCUUGGGUCAUCGAGGUGUUGACGACUUCCAUUUCAGCUUGUCAUCUCGUCUGGAGGUAUGCCCACCAAGGUAUGGUCAUAUACACCAGAAGAGGAAGAAGAAGAAGAAGAAGAAGAAGAAGAAAAAGAAGGAGGAAUCUGAGGAGGUAAGUUUCGAUUUCAUAAGACCUCGUCUCCCUCAAAGAAACCUUAGAUGUCCGGAGGCAAAGUCGUUUUCCAAGGAACAUCUGGGUUGGAGGAGCUUUCCUCGGCAUUGCGUCAGUGAAAGUAAAGCCUUCGGAUUCUUUUUCUUUUUUUCCCCAGUGAUUAUUCAUUAAGGGAAGAUUUAAUUUUUUUCAUUCCUGAAGCUGACUGUUCACUUUUAUUUCUAGAAACUCUCGGUGAAAUAUCGUAUAUUCACCUGAAUUCCAAAAGGUCGUCCGUAAAUAAAUUUGUUACCCUUUCUGUCAAAAAACUGUCAAAAAUUGAGCUGUUCAACUGUACUUCUCUAAAAAAUGCCACUCUGUAAUUUUUAUAGAUUUUUCCCCCACGUUUUCAAAUGAUCAGUUGGUAAUGGUAGACUUCAGCCAAAUUAUUUUCGCCACGUUUUUUGUAUGAGGUUUAAACUGUAAAUUU